AGAGAUGUUGACAACAAUCUUGAAGAAUACCGACCCUGUUGAAGUAAUUCAAGAAAACGAGGUUGAAGAGGCACCUCAAACUGCAGAAGAAGAGGUCAUCGAUGAGAAAGACGAAAAAAUACUGCAUUUGGAAACAGAAAUACAAAGGCUGAAUAGUGUUGUUAGCACUUUGAAUAAGUGCAAAAACGAGCAGUUAGCAGAAAUUAAACGCCUCAAGAUUUCCAUUAAAACUGCGGAAUUCCAUAGAAAUAAUUUGGAGCAAAAACUUAGCUGCAUUUUCACUAACGACCAGACACCGCUUACGCGAUUAUAGCCGAGUCAACAACAGCGCGCCAGUCGUUUCUUCUCUUCGCUACGUGGCGCCAAUUGGAUAUUCCAAGCGAGGCCAGGUCCUUCUCCACUUGGUCCUUCCACCGGAGUGAAGGUCUUCCUCUUCCUCUGCUUCCCGCGGCGGGUACUGCGUCGAAUACUUUCAGAGCUGGAGUGUUUUCAUCCAUCCGGACAACAUGACCUAGCCAGCGUAGCCGCUGUCUUUUAAUUCGCUGAACUAUGUCAAUGUCGUCGUAUAUCUCGUACAGCUCAUCGUUCCAUCGAAUGCGAUAUUCGCCGUGGCCAACGCGCAAAGGACCAUAAAUCUUUCGCAGAACUUUUCUCUCGAAAACUCGCAACGUCGACUCAUCGGUUGUUGUCAUCGUCCAAGCCUCUGCACCAUAUAGCAGGACGGGAAUUAUGAGCGACUUAUAGAGUUUGGUUUUUGUUCGUCGAGAGAGGACUUUACUUUUCAAUUGCCUACUCAGUCCGAAGUAGCACCUGUUGGCAAGAGUAAUCCUGCGUUGGAUUUCUAGGCUGACAUUGUUGGUGGUGUUUACGCUGGUUCCUAAAUAGACGAAAUUAUC